rnacentral:rRNA from 1 species
CCUACGGGUGGCAGCAGUAGGGAAUCUUUCACAAUGGGCGAAAGCCUGAUGGAGCAACGCCGCGUGCAGGAUGAAGGCCCUCGGGUUGUAAACUGCUUUUAUAAGCGAGAAAUAUGAUGGUAACUUAUGAAUAAGGAUCGGCUAACUACGUGCCAGCAGCCGCGGUCAUACGUAGGAUCCGAGCAUUAUCCGGAGUGACUAGGUGUAAAGAGUUGCGUAGGUGGCAUAAUAAGUAGCUAGUGAAAUCUGGUGGCUCAACCAUUCAGACUAUUGGCUAAACUGUUAAGCUCGAGACCGUUAGGGGUAACUGGAAUUUCUGGUGUAGGGGUGAAAUCCGUAGAUAUUAGAAAGAACACCGAUAGCGUAGGCAGGUUGCUGGGACGGUUCUGACACUGAGGCACGAAAGCGUAGGGAGCAAACGGGAUUAGAUACCCUGGUAGUC